rnacentral:rRNA from 1 species
UAAUACGUAGGAGGCGAGCGUUAUCCGGAUUUACUGGGCGUAAAGAGCGCGUAGGUGGCUCUUCAAGUCGGAUGUAAAAUCUCCCGGCUCAACUGGGAGGGACCAUUCGAUACUGUCGGGCUAGAGGGCAGCAGAGGGAGAUGGAAUUCCCGGUGUAGUGGUGAAAUGCGUAGAUAUCGGGAGGAACACCAGUGGCGAAGGCGGUCUCCUGGGCUGUACCUGACACUGAGGCGCGAAAGCGUGGGGAGCGAACAGGAUUAGAUACCCUGGUAGUCCACGCCGUCAACGAUGGACACUAGGUAUGGGGAGUAUCGACCCUCUCUGUGCCGAAGCUAACGCGUUAAGUGUCCCGCCUGGGGACUACGGCCGCAAGGUUA